rnacentral:rRNA from 1 species
ACCCAACAACUAGCCCCUCCAACCAAAACCAACAAACCCACAUAAAUAAACCCUAAUACCCUACCCACCCCCAAACAAAUCAUUCUUCCCCCCUAGUACAGGCGAUAGAAAAGGAACUGCGGAGCAACAGAAAAAGUACCGUAAGGGAAAGCUGAAAGAGAAAUGAAACAACCCAGUAAAGCACAUAAAAGCAGAGACUUAUCCUCGUACCUUUU